rnacentral:sRNA from 1 species
AGAAAACAAAAAGAAAGAGCAUUACUUCAGCAGCAGCCAGGGAAACACCCUCUCCAGACUAUCCACUACAGUCGCUGAGAACAGGACCAGUUGGAACGGCAGGCAGCAUGGGGGUGGCUCAGGCCAGGCCUCUCCUGCCAGCAAACUCAGAAGAACCACCUUUCAAGGACAAGGUUUAUGGGCUCUGAGCCCCCAGUUCCCCUCAUAACCUAGAAGGGAUGGCUGAUUCUCAGGGGAACUCGGCUGGUGCCCUGUAGAACUGACAGCAGCUAUCACCCCCAGCCCCAAUCUGAACACUCUGUCCUGGUUUCCCGGCCAGGCACAGCCUGCCACACUGGCCAGCCAUUUCCCAUCUGUGCUAAACCAAUCCUGGCCCCUUCUGCCACUCCCUGAACUCUAGCUGACCAUCCUCCUGCCUCUGCCUCCCAAGUGCUGGGAUUAAAGGCACCAUACCUGCCACUAACUACUUCUCUGUGUAACCAUUAUAGCUCUUAUAGUUUUUGUUUCAGACAUGGCUUCUUGACAUAGCCCUGGCUGUCCUGGAACCACCUCCAUAGACCAGACUGGCCUCAAACUCAGAACUCAAGAGAUCCAUCUGCCUCUGCCUCCUGAGUGCUGGGAUUAAAGGCCUCCUCCCCUGCCCAGCCAUUAUCGUGAACUCUUAACAUACAAGGAAGUAGGUUUCACUGUGACAUUUCACUACACACACAUCAUCAUUCUUUGCUGCUAGCCCUUCAUGCCCACUCCUGUCUGGUCACCUUCCUCCCUCAAACAGUCCCCCUUCCUGUUCCCAUGUCACACGCAUCCGGCUACCCUCACUACAUGGCCUGUCCUUUCCCUCAUCUAAUCCUCAAGUGUAAGCCUGAAGGACUCCAAGUCAGCACACCCGAGUUUGUUGCUGCACCAUUCACAGCAGGCAGGCCACGGGACCGAUCUACAGCCCUGUCACCAGACAAAUGCGUAGAGAAAUAUACGGGGUGGAAUUUUAUCACGCUGUGAAGAGGAAAGAGACCGUGGCACUUGCAGGGGAGUGAACAGAGCUGAAGUUCACUGUGCUAAAUGAAAGAAGCCAGACACGGUAAGACAAAUAUCUUUUCUCUCACGGUGGAAUUACCCUGGGCAUUGUGUCCUCCAUCUUUCUCCCACAGCCGACUAUCCAUCAACCCUUGCCUCGCUCACCCGGUUUACUCGAGUGGUUCUGUGCACAGCUUUCUGGAGCACACCACACUAAGGCUCCCUGCUCCAUUCAUUCAUCAACCUGCCUCGUGCUUCGUACUGGAAGCCCCAGCUAGGACCCAUCUCCAUGAGCUCCAGCGUGCAGGGCUGUCUCAGUCCUCUCCGGGGUGUGUGCCCUCCCCAUCCAACCUUCCCCCACCCACUCACACGAUACAGCCAUUCUUCCAGUCCCUGAGUAUAGACAGUUGUCACUCAGGGAGAAAUGGCAAAACCAAGACCCACGGAACCUCAAAUGGUCCAUGCGAAUAUUUACUGAGAAAGGGGCAGAUGCUUACAAAAGGCUGGGUCCAAGCAAGGUCAGGGGGGCCUGCAGCUUACUCGCCUGGGUGCCCUGAGAUGGAAACUCAGUAAAAUUAAAAACUGUGCCCAGGCCUAGUCCUGGUGCCUACCAGCCAACAGCCGCUCAUAAUGGGCCGCUGUCCAGUAGAGUUAUAAAUAUGGAAAAGCAGCUUAGCUCCUGGCCCUGGCACAGCAGUCAGAGGGCACAAUAAAUGCCACAGCCAGCCUGCAUCCCCAAGGCCUCAGGAAGCAGGCAGGAUCUCCCCUCAACUGAGGUCACCCUCAUCACUUCUUACAUGUUUACCAGCUGCUUCCUGAGGACCAACAGAGGAACUAACAGAGAUGAGACGGUCGGGCUUAAGGCCACUAGAACCAGCUGGGUCAACUGGAGGAAGCGAGGGCUAGCGUGCCCUUUAACCCUAUGUCCCAAAAGAACCUGGCCCCAAAGAACCCAAUGAGGGAAUGCUACGGUUGUUACCACUGUGGAUUCUCGGGUCAUUUCAUCUCCCUGAACUUCCUGAAGGAACGGCAGACAAUAUUCACCUGCUCUCAAGACUGCACCAGGCACAGGCCAGAGACACACAGCAGCAAGGCCUCAGGUCACCUAUGCUCACAGCAAAGGGACAAACAGUCAUGAGGAGCCUCUGCAAACUGAGAGCCUAGAUCACCUGGCCCCAGAUCAUUCCAGCCCAGUGGAGAGAGAAGAAAACUGUAGCUGGUCUCAUGGGUGAGAGAAGCUGGCCAGGCAGGCCUUGAGCUGCUCAAAGAUGAACUUUUAAACAUCGACAUAUGGAUGGGGAAAGCAAGUGACAGAAAGGCACACAUCACCCACACCUGGAGGGGCUAGUUUCCCUAUGGCCUCAGUUUCCCUCUGGGGAAAUAUUCUGAUAUCCAGAUGAUGUCAGCAGGUGGCUCUCACCGACUAAGCCUCCUGAAGUCACUUCCUAUCACCCUGAUCCUCGAACAGCAAUGGGGAAGUCGCUAACUUUGAAAACAGAUGGGAUGCAAGUGAGAAAGUCUGACCAACUGUUUUCUCACAGAGGGCUGAGCUCCCGGGAGUCCAGGCAGCUUAUCCAGCUCAGACCUCUAGGGAGAAGGACUUUUGAGAGGGAGUCCCCUCUCCUAACACAGGCACCUUCAUUGUUCACUGGUAACCUGCAGCCCACAAGGACAAGGUCCAGGUUACUGUAUUACUUGAAGGAGAAGCAGGAAGAUGUUCAGAGGCCCGGGGAAGGUUCCAGACUGGCGUGACAGAGUUGACAUGACCUCCAGGAAAAUCAAGAACCUGUUGGGCUCACUUCGGUUCUUCAUCAGGGAGCCCCAAAGAGCAGACCCCUAAGAUCCUGCCAUAACUGGAAAGUUCAGAAAGGAAAUCACGGGCCUAAAGCAAGGGGCAAGAGAGGAACGUUAAAGGCGGGAGAGGGAAGAGAAAUCAGGGAGCUGGCUGUAAAGUGACUACCAUCCCACCUUCUCAUCACCCAGACACACGAUCGAUCGUAUGAAACAUGUGGGCUCUGGGAUGACAGCUGCCAAACUGGAGUGGGGAAGAGCUGAGUGAGGUACUUGCCGGGAGAAAGAACCGCCACUGACAAGCCACAUGUCGCCCAAACAUACAGCAUGCAUCAGUAGAAAGAAUUGGGCGGGAAGCUGUGCGUUUCCCUAAGGAACAACACCAAGGCCACAAGAGAGCUUCGGGGAGCAGGACCCUGUGGACUUGUGUGUACAGAAUGAAUCCAAAAGCACCAGAAGAUGACCUCAGCCAGGCCUCCGAGCAAGGGCAAGGGCAAGGGCAAGGGCAGCUGAGAGGAGGGCUGGAGAGAAGGCAGACUCCUCCUCCACUGUGUCUUUGACAGUGAAUGAAAGACCAGCAGCCUCCCAAGUCCUUCCCAGAGACAAGCUGAAGUGACCCCACGGCAGGGUCACACAAUGGUCACAGCAGACACUCAGAACUGAGGUUCUAGGCCAGGGUUAACAUCCGGGUCCUUGCGGGGGGGCAGUCAGAGGGCCCAGGCUACAGUAUUUACUGGGGCUACGGGGCUGGGGCAGCAGUGGGUGACCUAGAGGUGUUUCCUGCUUUCUGUGUUUCCUACUACUACGGGCAAAUCCGUUGCCUUCAACAACACCGGAAAGUAGCAAUAAAAGGUAAAGCUUAAUAAUUUAAAUGUUAUUAAAAGCCUGUACCUAGGGGACUCUUCUUGGUCAAAUUCGGUAAGUCUAGGGCAGAGGCAUACUCAAACUCAUAAUCUUGUCUUCCAGCUGGUCCCCUCCCCAGAACUCCAGGGAGGGUACACCCUUGGGGAGUUAAACAUUUGCAGAAAGAGGAAGGAUGGCCCCUCCUUUGGAGGAAGAAGCAGCUCCAGGUUCAAGAUGGUGGCCGUCCACACCAGUAGUCCUCUUCCUGGACUCUAAGUGGCACUAAGGCCCCUCCCUUGUUCAGCCGUGGGCAAUGAAACAUGAACAGACACAGCAUGUACUUCAGGAAGUAGCAUUCGGCUGUGAGCACUAGACCCUCUAACUAGUCCUCCUGACCAGGGCAGCAUCAGUCUGGAAAGGUGGUUAGUUACCAGGUGGACCCUCACCAGGUGGAAGGCUGAGGCAGGAGGAUUGUGAGUCUGAGACCAGUCUAAACUGGAGAGAUGCUGUUCCCUCUGUAAGAGCAGGGGACUAUGCCAUGGGGGCAGCGCCAGGGCAUCCAGAAGACAGAGGCUCCACAAUGUGCAGGAUAGGAUUACCUGGUCUAAAGUGAUCAGCGUGCGCAGGUAGGGGGACACUGCGGGGGGAACAUAGCGCUGGAAAGUAGGUGUAGCCAGAGUGGACUCUGAACAAGCUUGAGCUAGGUCUCUGGUGUUUCUUGAACAUCUGUCCCUGCAGCCUGACCUAGCUUGUCCUGACUGACAACUGCCGUUCAGGAAGUAGAGUAUGUCCUAUCGCUACACCUCCUGGCCAGUAGCAUAUGAAAAAGCAGCUACAGGGUCCUGAACAGCAGUAACGCCAGACCCUUCCCUCACCCCCACACCCCCAGUCCCCUUCUCUCAGUCACCUAAGCCUUGCCUACAUCUGGCCUCUCCCCCGUGUGAAUGUCUGUCUUCAUGUAGCGAGCUGCAGCUGGCCCGUAAGAACAGCUCUCAUGCCACAUACACCAAGGACCCUUCCCUCCUCAGUGGCUCUUCAGCUCACCACCAGCCAACAUUGCCAAAGCUCCCGUGAGGCUGCAGGCAGUGAGGCCCUGGACCUAGAGGCUGGUCGUGAUUUUUGCCUUCCACAGCCAUGCCCAGUACACAGUACUUUCCAGACUUCCAGUGUCAGGAGCCGCCUGUCUGCCUGUUCCCUCCCCGGAAUCCCCGCCGUUCCCUUGCGACUGCUCUGUGAUUUGGACUGUCCUCCUGUUUAACGGUGCCAGGAACUGAAAAUGGCCUGAUAUAAAGACAACAUAUGAACAGAAUUUUAAAGCCAGUACAAACAUAUGAAUUGUCUGGACAGCAGCAGCAAAGAACCAGAUAAACUGGAAGCUGCCAUCUGUCUUUCUUUUUCUGGGAUGGGGGUUCAACCCCUUAACUGAAACUCAGACCCCUGAAGACCCUGCCCAUAUCGUGCGCCUCCCCCAAGGGAGGCAGUCAGGCCCAGGUGUGGGUCUCUCUCAGCACAGGUGAAGCAACCUGACUCGUCAAACCCUAGGACCUUGAACAAGCCCGUGGAGCCCGGAAGAGGCUCUUCUGGUGAAGCUACACGGGCAGAGUUGGGUGGCAGACUCACCCAACUUCCAGGAGUGGCAGCAUCUAGGGAUGCACUGCCCACGCAGUCCACUUUUGUGAUUCCAUGCUGGGGUGAGCCACACGGCCCUCCAGGAUGUGUUCCAAGAGCAUCCACAGUGUGGUCAAUCCAGCCAGAAAGGUCUCGGGGUCUAUCCCUGCAGAGCUCUGACACCCCUAAACUCUUAAGAGCCAUAAGAAAAAAAAAAUCUCACCUUGAAAUCUUUUGGGCCCUCACCUGGGGGAAAACCAAUGUGAGGAGACCUAACAGGAGGGCUCCAGGCUUCCCUCAACCUAGCUGCCAAUCAACCUUACUGAGACCCACAGUGCAGCCUGCUUCCUGGAUUCAGUACUCAGAGCCCCAGGAAUGCAACUUUCUUGGCCUGGAGAGUAAGGUAAGCUUUGAGCAGGGAGGCUCUGGGGCUCUGAGAAGGAGAAGUCUGCCGUCCACGGUUCACGCUUUUCCAAAUACCUACUUUCAAGGUGCACCCACUGUUUACGGAAGCAGGCCUGCAUGUAUGCAGCAAGCACGCAGGGUGCUGACACUUGGAAAGGCUACACACCUGUAGCUGAACUGUCCGCUGAGCAGCCAACGCACCAUGUGACUAUAAACUUCCUCCUGGCCCCCAAUCCCAGGAACGCCUGGGGAUUCUGAAGCCACACACAUUAUGGGGGCUCUUGGACAUAGAUUUCCCUCACCUGACUGUCACUAUCAAAUGCUGGGGUUCUCUGUACAACUCUGGCACAAGGGAGCCCCUAAACCAUGGGUUCAGCCAAAAGAUGUUAACAGUCCCGUGAAAGCUGGAGGAGUACAAACCAUGAGCUGGUGCAUGUGCCAUGGAGUCCCAAGCUGAGCCAACACCCUCACCAUCCUCACCAGCAGGAGGCGCCUGAGUGUUCACCGCAGAGCAAGAGUCAGAGUUGACUGACCCUGGCCACCUCAGAAAACCGUCUACAUGCUACCCAAACCUUAGUCCCCAGGUGCACGCAGGCAGUGACUUUACCCUUUAUCCUCUGGUCUGCCAUAGGGUAGAAAGCCAAGAAGCCUGGCUCCAAUACCCACAUGACCACAGAGAGCUCUGACCUUGACCCAAAAACUGCUUCCUGAGGUAGCAGUCUCAUCCCAGAGCCCAAGAUGAGCAUUGUGAAUGAGUCCUGUAUUCCUAGUCUAUGGCUUCCGUAACGAAUGAAACACCACAGCGGAUAACUAAGAGCAACAAGAAACCUUCCACAAUGUGGGUAGGUCCGGCCAUUCUUCCUUCCGUGUGGGAGGACUGCACCCUGGCCUGGCCUCUCCAGUUCUGGAAACUGUCACACUCUCUGGCCCCCAGCCACAUCGAUGACUAGCCCCAUCUCCUCUCUUUGGCACUCCCUCCUCCUCUUAUCAGGACCUUUGUGACCGCCCUGGGUCCACCCAGCUAAUCCAGGGCAAUUUCCCUGUCUCGGGAUCACCCCUGUCGUGGCACUGUGCCCUCUGACCACGCAAGGCAGCCGGGUCACAGAGUCUGAACUCAAGGGCCUGGCCAUCUCUGGUAGGCUCCUUGUUCUGUCAGCUACAGCCCCAAGGAUUCAGCAGUGUUGCCACCCUGUGACACUGGACACUCCCUCCAAGUGCCCAGGGUAGAGAAGGAACAGAGGAAAACCUACCCAGGAAUUCAAGGGGAACCUAGAUGUCCAAAGGAAGAGUUCGCAUGGUUCCCACAGAGUCAGUGAGCAUUACCAGACAUUCCCAUAAGGAUUCCAGAUGAGAACAGAGGGCUGGGGAACAGGAGGCAGGAGGUCUUGGACCUAAGAGGCCUAAGAACCCAGGCCUCAGACCUGGACUAUGAACUAGGAAAAGGGGUAAUAAUAUUGAUUGAGGUCAAGGAAAGACAUGAAGGCCAACCAUGUCCAAAUUCAGGGCUCCCUGCUCUGAGGCAGGACCCAUCCUGGACUCUGCCAACACUGUGUAGUAACAGACUCUCCAAGCAUGGAGCCAGUUGGAACCUAAGACUGGGCCAGCACCCAGGCAUACCAGGGCCCUGCCAGGGCCAGUCGAGCUCACCAUUUAUAGGCCUGGGGGUGUAGUGACCUGGCCCCAGUCCCUGUCCCAAAUGCACGGAGCCCCCUGUCCUAACAGGCAGCAACUUGAUCUGAUACCCGAGACCCUCCAGUUUCCAGAGAUUCUGAAGGCCUGGAUAUGACUCAAAGAAAUGCUAAGGCAACACCUGCAGCACCUAGGCGGCCUCAUUCCCACUCGGCCUGCUCCCCAGAGCCAGAUGAGGGAGGGGACGAGGAGGAGGUGAAGCUAGAGGGGCCUGUGAGUGCCAGGCACUGCUCACGUGCUGAACUUCUCCUCAAGCUGACCUCCCAUAUCCCCCUGGGGCACCCUGCUGCAUGGGACUGACACACACUCGGGUCCCAAAUUCACUUGUCCAAGGCUAGGAGCAAGCAGAGAGCAGAGCCACAGGUCUGAAUUCAGGACUGUCUCUCAGCAAUGGCCUCCUCAAUCCACAGCAACAAAAUGUGACCUGUAUGGGACUGUUCACCUGGCAGAGGCUCAAAUCUGCUGGGUGAGGCCUCGGGGAUAUUUGGGAAAGAGAGAGCGUUCUAGACAGAGCUGCCUCUGGUCCCUCAGCCCACCCUUACCCCAAGUUUGAUAAAAUCCUCUCUUGGAGCCUUGAUCCUCGAGGGCAAAGUCCUCCACAACUGAGGACCAGCCCUGACUAAAAGUCAAGGGCACAGAAGACACUCCUUAAGGCGUGACCGGCCGCAAACAUCUGGGCGUACAGAAGCCUGGGCAUGACCUACAGCAUCCAAGGUUCAGAAUUAGGAUAGACCCAGGUCCGCUUGGUCAUCUCUCAGCACAGGGCUGGCUUCUCAAGCAGAAGGAACCUUCUAAGAAACAAAAGGGAUGAGAAAACAACAGGUUUUCUAAACCACAAAAGAGAUGGUUGUUAGCUCCCAGAACAAGACUGCCGGGUAAAAGGAGGGUGAAUGCCCAUGCUGAGAGAAGGCUGUGCAUGCCAACAGUCAAGAGAAGAGGUAGACAAGAUGACAGAAGUCUAGAGGGUACCACCCAACCUCCAAAGAAGCCUGAACCUGCUAACAAGAGAGAAAUCAGCUGUAGGGCAGGACAGUGGAACAGGUGGGAAGGCCACUGGUGAGGACAAGCCUGAAGCCUCAGAAGCACCGCUACCCAGAGGCAAGCUCCAGGGAGCACAUGCCCCCAACACCUCCUUCCUUCCAGUGUCCAUGCCCUGCUGCCUUCAGGCUCUGCAGCUGGGAGUCAUGGCAACAGGCCCCAAACAUCUGCAGUAAUCCCUCAGAGCCCCACAUGGGGGUCACAGCAGCCAACACGGACCAAUGCCAAGAACCAGGGCCCUGUGCAGAAGAAAUGACAAAAACAGAAAUAUCUUUGUCCAACUAGAAGAGAGGAGAGGGAGAAAUGCCUGCUGGGCAUCAGGAGCAACAUAGGCAAACAGCACGGACCUGUGUGCCUCGGGCCAGCCAGCGGGUCUCCAGACCGUCUUCCUGCUGCCCUGUGUUGUCCACCCUCCAGCCUGUGACCUUCCACUUCAGAAGCAUGACUCACCUCACCAUCCUGCCCUGUCAUGCCUUUGUGUAACUUCUCACCACCUGGCCCUGAGGCCCCUUAAAGACGCCAGCUCCCAACCCAUGGAGCAUACCCAGUUUGCUGUGCCCUGCCUACAGGUUGGUUCACACACACACACACACACACACACACACACACACACACACACACACACCACCUGCCUGUAUUUCACCCAAAUGUCAGACACACCCCCUUUCUAUAAUCUACCACUAAAUCCCAUCCCAAAAAGAACCCAUGAAAGGGAAGAGAAGCCGGGAUACCAUGGAGCCCAGGGGGCAUGCUGGGGCCAUCAGCCGGCGGCCUGCUCCAGAUGUACCUCUUCCUCCUGGACCAUGCAUAGGUCAGCUGUGUCUUGCAACCCACUUAGGAAGCCAGUGAGUGUGCGAGAAUGACCCCGGACAUCAGAGUGCAGCUUGAGAGGGGGCUGAGAAGCCAGUUCACGGCAGGUCAAUUAGUCUCGAUUUCUCAGACUAGUAUCCUCCACAUGACUGGCCUUCCCCUUUAGUCCCUACAUUAAGAGAUGGUUUUACUCAUCCUAUACUUCCUAUGUGCUUCUGAGGACCGGUUAGGGGCCGGGCGGUUUCACCAAUGGGACCUACCAGUUAAAAUAACAGGAAAGGCUCUUGAUCUCAAGGAGGGUGAAUAACCAAGCCCUGAGAUGGGUACUGGCCGAGACCACGAGUCUGCAGGAGAGGGCGAGCCUGACAGGUACCAGAAGCCGUGGACACACACAAAGGACGGAAGCUAGGAAAAAGCUGGAGGUAGCAGAAUUUGGACCUGAGGAGAGAUCCCCAGUGGCUGGGCCACAGAAGGGAAGCACAGAACUAACAGUCUGAGGCCUUAGAGGCCAGUCCUUUUAUGGCCAGACCGCCUGAAUCCAGGAAUUCACCUUCUGGCUUAAGCACAUCUGAACUGGGCUUGUGGUCACCCGCCACUCAGCAUCCAAUGGAAAAGUCACCUGCCAUCAGCUGCUCCACCAGCCUGCCUCCUGAUGAAGACAUACACCAACCUGGAGCCACGCCAGAGUCCAGCCCCAUCCUCCCGCUUCUGUCUCUCAUCCCUCUCUCCCGGAAAGGACUCACUGUGGUGUCCUGGCUGCCCAGAGCUGGAAGGGAAGGCGAGAGGAGAAAGAAAAGCAGGUGCCUCUCAGCUGAGGAGCAGAGGAUCCCAAGAGCAAUAGUUAGCAGACUGCACUAAUUAGGAAGGGGGGUGGGGGGA